AGUGAACGCUGGCGGUAGGCCUAACACAUGCAAGUCGAACGGCAGCACAGUAAGAGCUUGCUCUUACGGGUGGCGAGUGGCGGACGGGUGAGGAAUACAUCGGAAUCUACUUUUUCGUGGGGGAUAACGUAGGGAAACUUACGCUAAUACCGCAUACGACCUACGGGUGAAAGCAGGGGAUCUUCGGACCUUGCGCGAUUGAAUGAGGCGAUGUCGGAUUAGCUAGUUGGCGGGGUAAAGGCCCACCAAGGCGACGAUCCGUAGCUGGUCUGAGAGGAUGAUCAGCCACACUGGAACUGAGAGACGGUCCAGACUCCUACGGGAGGCAGCAGUGGGGAAUGUUGGACAAUGGGCGCAAGCCUGAUCCAGCCAUACCGCGUGGGUGAAGAAGGCCUUCGGGUUGUAAAGCCCUUUUGUUGGGAAAGAAAAGCAGCAGGUUAAUACCCCGCUGUUCUGACGGUACCCAAAGAAUAAGCACCGGCUAACUUCGUG
rnacentral:rRNA from 1 species